rnacentral:rRNA from 1 species
GCUUAACACAUGCAAGUCGAGGGGCAGCAUGGUCUUAGCUUGCUAAGGCCGAUGGCGACCGGCGCACGGGUGAGUAACACGUAUCCAACCUGCCGUCUACUCUUGGACAGCCUUCUGAAAGGAAGAUUAAUACAAGAUGGCAUCAUGAGUCCACAUGUUCACAUGAUUAAAGGUAUUCCGGUAGACGAUGGGGAUGCGUUCCAUUAGAUAGUAGGCGGGGUAACGGCCCACCUAGUCUUCGAUGGAUAGGGGUUCUGAGAGGAAGGUCCCCCACAUUGGAACUGAGACACGGUCCAAACUCCUACGGGAGGCAGCAGUGAGGAAUAUUGGUCAAUGGGCGCAGGCCUGAACCAGCCAAGUAGCGUGAAGGAUGACUGCCCUAUGGGUUGUAAACUUCUUUUAUAAAGGAAUAAAGUCGGGUAUGCAUACCCGUUUGCAUGUACUUUAUGAAUAAGGAUCGGCUAACUCCGUGCCAGCAGCCGCGGUAAUACGGAGGAUCCGAGCGUUAUCCGGAUUUAUUGGGUUUAAAGGGAGCGUAGAUGGAUGUUUAAGUCAGUUGUGAAAGUUUGCGGCUCAACCGUAAAAUUGCAGUUGAUACUGGAUAUCUUGAGUGCAGUUGAGGCAGGCGGAAUUCGUGGUGUAGCGGUGAAAUGCUUAGAUAUCACGAAGAACUCCGAUUGCGAAGGCAGCCUGCUAAGCUGCAACUGACAUUGAGGCUCGAAAGUGUGGGUAUCAAACAGGAUUAGAUACCCUGGUAGUCCACACGGUAAACGAUGAAUACUCGCUGUUUGCGAUAUACAGCAAGCGGCCAAGCGAAAGCGUUAAGUAUUCCACCUGGGGAGUACGCCGGCAACGGUGAAACUCAAAGGAAUUGACGGGGGCCCGCACAAGCGGAGGAACAUGUGGUUUAAUUCGAUGAUACGCGAGGAACCUUACCCGGGCUUAAAUUGCAGAUGAAUUACGGUGAAAGCCGUAAGCCGCAAGGCAUCUGUGAAGGUGCUGCAUGGUUGUCGUCAGCUCGUGCCGUGAGGUGUCGGCUUAAGUGCCAUAACGAGCGCAACCCUUGUUGUCAGUUACUAACAGGUUCCGCUGAGGACUCUGACAAGACUGCCAUCGUAAGAUGUGAGGAAGGUGGGGAUGACGUCAAAUCAGCACGGCCCUUACGUCCGGGGCUACACACGUGUUACAAUGGGGGGUACAGAGGGCCGCUACCACGCGAGUGGAUGCCAAUCCCAAAAACCUCUCUCAGUUCGGACUGGAGUCUGCAACCCGACUCCACGAAGCUGGAUUCGCUAGUAAUCGCGCAUCAGCCACGGCGCGGUGAAUACGUUCCCGGGCCUUGUACACACCGCCCGUCAAGCCAUGGGAGCCGGGGGGUACCUGAAGUGCGUAACCGCGAGGAGCGCCCUAGGGUAAAACUGGUGACUGGGGCUAAGU